rnacentral:rRNA from 1 species
UGUUAAGUACUCUAAGGAUUGUAUUUAAAAUUAAAAUAUUUGGCGGCUGUUUAUAUUAAAGGGAUUUGCUUAUUAUCGAUAUACCUCGUUUAAUAUUAUUUAGCUUGUUUUUGUAUACCGUCAUCUAGAUAAUUUUUAUAAAAUUAAUUGUGGUAUUAAUAUUCUGUAAAUUAGAUCAAGGUGCAGAUAUAGUUAAUAUUAAGUUAAUGACAAUAAUUUAUUAUUAUACAGUAUUUGUUUAAUUAUUUAGAAUAGUAGGAUUUAAUUGUAAUAGAAAUUAGUUGAAAUUAA